CGUGUGUCUGGCGGGUGGGCCGGCGGCGCUGCGGCUGCUGGCCGCCGCGACCGGGCUGGCGUGUCUCGUCGCGGCCGUCCUGGCCCGGUCGGUGCGUGUC
rnacentral:tRNA from 2 species